rnacentral:rRNA from 1 species
CCUACGGGUGGCAGCAGUGGGGGAUAUUGCACAAUGGGGGGAACCCUGAUGCAGCGACGCCGCGUGGGUGAAGGAGUAUUUCGGUAUGUAAAGCCCUAUCGGCAGGGAAGAAAUUGGACGGUACCUGACUAAGAAGCCCCGGCUAACUACGUGCCAGCAGCCGCGGUAAUACGUAGGGGGCAAGCGUUAUCCGGAUUCACUGGGUGUAAAGGGAGCGUAGACGGCCAUGCAAGCCAGGGGUGAAAGCCCGGGGCCCAACCCCGGGACUGCCCGUGGAACUGCAUGGCUGGAGUGCGGGAGGGGCAGGCGGAAUUCCUGGUGUAGCGGUGAAAUGCGUAGAUAUCAGGAGGAACACCGGCGGCGAAGGCGGCCUGCUGGACCGCGACUGACGUUGAGGCUCGAAAGCGUGGGGAGCGAACAGGAUUAGAUACCCUAGUAGUC